UACGUAGGGUGCAGGCGUUAAUCGGAAUUACUGGGCGUAAAGCGUGCGCAGGCGGUUUUGUAAGUCUGUCGUGAAAGCCCCGGGCUCAACCUGGGAAUUGCGAUGGAGACUGCAAGGCUUGAAUCUGGCAGAGGGGGUAGGAAUUCCACGUGUAGCAGUGAAAUGCGUAGAGAUGUGGAGGAACACCGAUGGCGAAGGCAGCCCCCUGGGUCAAGAUUGACGCUCAUGCACGAAAGCGUGGGGAGCAAACAGG
rnacentral:rRNA from 1 species